rnacentral:rRNA from 1 species
GACGAACGCUGGCGGCGUGCUUAACACAUGCAAGUCGAACGGAAAGGCCCUGCUUUUGUGGGGUGCUCGAGUGGCGAACGGGUGAGUAACACGUGAGUAACCUGCCCUUGACUUUGGGAUAACUUCAGGAAACUGGGGCUAAUACCGGAUAGGAGCUCCUGCUGCAUGGUGGGGGUUGGAAAGUUUCGGCGGUUGGGGAUGGACUCGCGGCUUAUCAGCUUGUUGGUGGGGUAGUGGCUUACCAAGGCUUUGACGGGUAGCCGGCCUGAGAGGGUGACCGGCCACAUUGGAACUGAGAUACGGCCCAGACUCCUACGGGAGGCAGCAGUGGAGAAUAUAGCACAAUGGGCGGAGGCCUGAUGCAGCAACGCCGCGUGCGGGAAGACGGCCAUCGGGUUGUAAACCAAUUUCGCCUGUGACGAAACGUGAGUGACGGUAAUGGGUAAAGAAGCACCGGCUAACUACGUG